CCGAGGCCUGGUUUUACUACGAGUCUGGCACUGAAGUCUGAAGCAGCCACAUUUGGGCGGUUUUCUACUCAAAUGAGAGAAUUCAUCAAAUGAAUUGGCCCAGACUUCUGCAGUGUCAAGUGAAGGAAGCUCCUCUCAUAAGAUUGCAAACUGUGAGUCUGAUGACACUGAGUGUGAGUGAUGGAAGCCCUUCAAGAAAGGAGCAGAAUGCUGAAGAUGACGCCAGAAUUGUGAGUCUGUUGACAUUGAGC